rfam:Streptomycetaceae bacterium MP113-05 genomic scaffold scaffold00012, whole genome shotgun sequence.
CCGUGCGGACGACCUGUCCGUACGGACCCCUGACACCGGUACCUGACACGGCCGGUGCAG